GACGAACGCUGGCGGCGUGCUUAACACAUGCAAGUCGAACGGAAAGGCCCUGCUUUUGUGGGGUGCUCGAGUGGCGAACGGGUGAGUAACACGUGAGUAACCUGCCCUUGACUUUGGGAUAACUUCAGGAAACUGGGGCUAAUACCGGAUAGGAGCUCCUGCUGCAUGGUGGUGGUUGGAAAGUUUCGGCGGUUGGGGAUGGACUCGCGGCUUAUCAGCUUGUUGGUGGGGUAGUGGCUUACCAAGGCUUUGACGGGUAGCCGGCCUGAGAGGGUGACCGGCCACAUUGGGACUGAGAUACGGCCCAGACUCCUACGGGAGGCAGCAGUGGGGAAUAUUGCACAAUGGGCGGAAGCCUGAUGAAGCAACGCCGCGUGCGGGAUGACGGCCUUCGGGUUGUAAACCGCUUUCGCCUGUGACGAAGCGUGAGUGACGGUAAUGGGUAAAGAAGCACCGGCUAACUACGUG
rnacentral:rRNA from 1 species